UACGUAGGCAGCGAGCGUUGUUCGGAGUUACUGGGCGUAAAGGGUGUGUAGGCGGUUGUUUAAGUUUGGUGUGAAAUCUCCCGGCUCAACUGGGAGGGUGCGCCGAAUACUGAAUGACUAGAGUGCGGGAGAGGAAAGUGGAAUUCCUGGUGUAGCGGUGAAAUGCGUAGAUAUCCGGAGGAACACCAGUGGCGAAGGCGACACGCUGGGCCGUACCUGACACUGAUGCGCGACAGCAUGGGGAGCAAACAGG
rnacentral:rRNA from 1 species